AUAGUUUGAUAAGGCUCAGGACAAACGCUGGCGGCGUGCCUAACACAUGCAUGUCGAACGGGGGUAGUGAUUCCUCAUUGGCGGACGGGUGCGGAACACGUGACUACCUACCGUGGAGUGGGGGAUAGCCUGGGGAAACUCGGGGUAAACCCGCAUACGCUGGAUACAGGAAACGGGAAACCGGCUCUAUGAGGGGGUUGCGACGGAUUAGCUGGUUGGUGGGGUAAUGGCUCACCAAGGCGACGAUCCGUAGCUGGUCUGAGAGGAUGAUCAGCCACACGGGGAUUGAGAACGGCCCCGAUCCCUACGGGGAGCAGCAGUGAGGAAUCUUCGACAAUGGGCGCAAGCCUGAUCGAGCGACGCCGCGUGCGGGAUGACGCCUUUCGGGGUGUAAACCGCUUUUCUGGGUGACGAGACAGGACGGUACCCCAGGAAGAAGCCCCGGCUAACUACGUGCCAGCAGCCGCGGUAAUACGUAGGGGGCGAGCGUUGUCCGGAGUUACUGGGCGUAAAGCGUGUGCAGGCGGUCUGUUGCGUGUGGGGUGAAAUCGCCCGGCUUACCUGGGCGGGGGCUCCGUAAACGGGCAGACUUGAGGCCGCUAGAGGCGCAUAGAACUCCCGGUGGACCAGUGAAAUGGGUAGAGAUCGGGAAGAAUACCAGAGGGGAAGCCGGUGCGCUGGUGGCGGGUCUGACGCUCAGACACGAUAGCAUGGGGAGCAAACAGGAUUUAGAUACCCUGGUAUUUCCAUGCGGUAAACGAUGUCCACUAGGUGUGGGGGGGUAUCGACCUCCCUCCGUGCUCGGCGCUAACGCACGAAGUUGUACCGCCUGGGGGAGUA
rnacentral:rRNA from 1 species